GACGAACGCUGGCGGCGUGCCUAAUACAUGCAAGUAGAACGCACAGUUUAUACCGUAGCUUGCUACACCAUAGACUGUGAGUUGCGAACGGGUCAGUAACGCGUAGGUAACCUGCCUGAUAUCGGUGGGUAACUAUGGGAAACGUUAGCUAAUACCUCAUAAUAUUAAUUAUUGCAUGAUAAAUAAUGGAAAUGUUCAAUUGUACCACUACCUGAUCGACCUGCGUGGUAUUAGCUAGUAGGGAAGGUAACGGCUCACCAAGGCAACGAUACAUAGCCGACCGGGGAGGUGGUCGGCCAACAUGGGAAUGGGAAACGGGCCAGGAUUCUUAAGGGAGGAGCAAUAGGGAAAUUUUGGCAAUGGGGGAAAGUCUGGACGGAGCAACGCGCGUGAGUGGAGAAAGGUUUCCGGUCGUAAAGAUUUGUUGAUUGGGGAGAAACAGUUUGGGAAUGGAAAGUUCACGCUGUGACGGUACCUAAUCAGAAAGCCACGGCUAACUACGUG
rnacentral:rRNA from 1 species